rnacentral:rRNA from 1 species
GAUGAACGCUGGCGGCGUGCCUAAUACAUGCAAGUCGAGCGAACGGACGAGAAGCUUGCUUCUCUGAUGUUAGCGGCGGACGGGUGAGUAACACGUGGAUAACCUACCUAUAAGACUGGGAUAACUUCGGGAAACCGGAGCUAAUACCGGAUAAUCUUUUGAACCGCAUGGUUCAAAAGUGAAAGACGGUCUUGCUGUCACUUAUAGAUGGAUCCGCGCUGCAUUAGCUAGUUGGUAAGGUAACGGCUUACCAAGGCAACGAUGCAUAGCCGACCUGAGAGGGUGAUCGGCCACACUGGAACUGAGACACGGUCAAGACUCCUACGGGAGGCAGCAGUAGGGAAUCUUCCGCAAUGGGCGAAAGCCUGACGGAGCAACGCCGCGUGAGUGAUGAAGGUCUUCGGAUCGUAAAACUCUGUUAUUAGGGAAGAACAUAUGUGUAAGUAACUGUGCACAUCUUGACGGUACCUAAUCAGAAAGCCACGGCUAACUACGUG